AUCCUUUGGUUCAUAAGCAUGAUGAUUGGGUGUUCAUGCUGUAUGCUUGAGAUGCCCCUCCCUCAAGCCUUGUUACCAUGUGGGCACAUUACCCAUCUGACG